CCCCACCCCUGCGCUGUCUCACGACAGAGAUCCAGACCGUCCGAGAGCUGAGUCAGCGCUUUAGAGUCAGCCAAGCACUCAAAACCCGAGGAAAACAGCAAAACAACAAUAAUCAAGCAUUUAAAUUGCUUUUUAAAAGGUAAAUAUAUGCGUUUUUCUAGGAUUAAAAGCAAAACUGUGCGGAACUGAGGUGCACUGAGGCUUUCAUCAUGUAUGCAGCCAUGUGGAGGCCAUGCAGUGUUCACGCCCGCUCCCCCUCCCCCUCCCCUCGCCCUUCUCAAGCAGAGACGGCGCUGCUCACGUAGAACGCUGUGUAUCUAUUACUUGUGUCAAAUUGAUGCAACAUGACGUGUUUGUUUUUAUUGCCUUAGGUAACUAGGUGACUAUUGCGCAUGCGCACAUCGCGAUGACGAUGCUUAAACGAUAUAUCGUGCAGCCCUAAUACUAGAGGUUAUACCAGAUACCAGAUUCCCAUCUCUAUGAAUAGGGAAAGAUUAAAAUACUAGUAAUAAUACUGCCAAAUUUUUAUUAUUUUUUUUAAAUCAGUGAUAAAAUCUGAAUUAAUAGUUUAUUGAAUUUUGCUCAGUAAUGCUCAAUACAACAUGAUAUUCCAGCUUGUCAUGGCUACUGCACUUGCGCAGAUCUCCACAUUAAGGGAUGCUUUCCUCUCUAGCAUGCUGACCCUUCUCAGUGCUUCAUAAGCUGCAAGCUGAUUGGCUCUAUUAGUUAAAGGUUGAGGCGUUAUCUGUAAACAGGUAACAUAUUGAGCAUUAUGAACUCUGCUGGUCAUACUUCAAAUUGAUGCCACCCAGCAUUUCAGACUUUAGUUAAACACCAGAUUAAUCUCCAUAAAUGAAAUUUACAACUGCAAUAAAUUAACUAAUUGAGUUUGACAUCUGCUAUAACAUGCCACAAGGUGAACAAAUUUUCAUCUGCAGCAAACUGCCUUUGAGUGUGCAUUGCAGAAGAAAUCAGCCCCACUGAAAGCUAGUUAUUACAUAAACCACUUUCAUAUUAUUUUGUACCACUGUCAUAUUUUCUUUUAAAAUACUUACCAUUAAAUGCACUUAUUUGGAGUGAACAUUUUGCAAAACCUGUAUAUAUACACUAUAUUGCCAAAAGUAUCCGCUAUCUUGCAUUGCUGUAUUUAGUGAUGUGAGGUUUGGAUUUGGGAGGUUUGAAGCUACAUGAAGUUUGGAGGUGUGUAGUGAUGAACUCUGAAGCUACAUAAAGUUUGGAGGUGUGUAGUGAUGAACUCUGAAGCUACAUGAAGUUUGGAGGUGUGUAGUGAUGAACUCUGAAGCUACAUGAAGUUUGGAGGUGUGUAGUGAUGAACUCUGAAACUACAUGAAGUUUGGAGGAGUGUAGUGAUGAACUCUGAAGCUACAUGAAGUUUGGAGGUGUGUAGUGAUGAACUCUGAAGCUACAUGAAGUUUGGAGGUGUGUAGUGAUGAACUCUGAAGCUACAUGACGUUUGAAGGUUUGUAGUGAUAAACUCUGAAGCUACAUGACGUUUGGAGGUGUGUAGUGAUGAACUCUGAAGCUACAUGAAGUUUGGAGGUGUGUAGUGAUGAACUCUGAAGCUACAUGAAGUUUGGAGGUGUGUAGUGAUGAACUCUGAAGCUACGUAAAGUUUGGAGGUGUGUAGUGAUGAACUCUGAAGCUACGUAAAGUUUGGAGGUGUGUAGUGAUGAACUCUGAAGCUACGUAAAGUUUGGAGGUGUGUAGUGAUGAACUCUGAAGCUACAUGAAGUUUGGAGGUGUGUAGUGAUGUAGUGACUCUGCAGAAAGUUGGUGAACUAUGUGCACUAUGCUCCUCAGCAUCAGCUGACCCCGUGAACUCUGAAGCUACGUAAA